GACGAACGCUGGCGGCGUGCCUAACACAUGCAAGUCGAACGGGAUUUGUAUGGUGCUUGCACUAUAUAAUGAGAGUAGCGCACUGGUGAGUAACACGUGGGAACAUACCUUGAAGUGGGGGACAACAGUUGGAAACGACUGCUAAUACCGCAUAAUGUAUCGUGACCGCAUGAUCGUGAUACCAAAGAUUUAUCGCUGAAAGAUGGCCUCGCGUCUGAUUAGAUAGUUGGUGGGGUAACGGCCUACCAAGUCUACGAUCAGUAGCCGGACUGAGAGGUCGAUCGGCCACAUUGGGACUGAGACACGGCCCAGACUCCUACGGGAGGCAGCAGUGGGGGGAUAUUGGUCAAUGGGGGAAACCCUGAACCCGCGACGCCGCGUGAGGGAAGAGGUAUUGAUUGUAAACCUCUGUCGUCAGGGAAGAAAAUGACGGUACCUGACAAGGAAGCACCGGCUAACUACGUG
rnacentral:rRNA from 1 species